ACCUUGUGAGACAGCGAGAGAUGGAACUGUUUGGGUUCAGCGACAAAUUAAGGACUUCAGCACUGUUCAGCCAAUGCAGACAACCCAGAGAUCAGUCAGCAAUGCAGGACCGACGGAGAUUGCAAGACGCAAAGUGACUAGUCGCUUGCAAAGCUUCCUUUGUCUUUUUGACAUCAGCAUGCUGAGGACCAUCAUAGACUGCACAUUACACAAAGCCCGCAAAACAAACCCUGACUGAAGCACAAUGGCAUUCGAGCUGAUGGCAUUCAUUGCUGUUUUAUUCUUCAAAGGAGCGAUUGGCAGAACUGGUGCCAUGCGUGACUGCUGCUCAAAAUGCUUCGGCAUUCCGGAAAUCAUGUCCACAAUGUCCCAAGACCGAUCUGAAGAGUUGAUGCGCUAUUUAUGCUUCGAUAUCAAGGACACCCAUUUGGAACGCAUGCAGACGGACAAAUUUGCUGCCAUUUCAGACAUUUGGGGGUGCUUUGUUCAGAACUGUGUGCUGUCGUACAACCCAGGGCAACACAUAACAGUUGAUGAACAGUUAUUUCUAACAAAGGUCCGAUGUCCUUUUCUGCAAUACAUUGCAUCUAAACCGGACAAGUUUGGAAUAAAGUUUUGGAUUGCAGCAGACUUAGACACUAAGUACAUGUGCAGUGCCAUUCCUUACUUAGGAAAAGACCCCAGCCAUAGGAGAGCGACUUGCAGACAAUGUUGUGACAAGGCUUAUGGAACCCAUUUUGGACAGAUGCAGAACCGUCACUAUGGACAAUUUUUUCACAUUGUUGUCUCUGGUGAACAGGCUUCUACAACGCAACACAACUCUGCUUGCCACAAUAAACAAAAUUCGACGGGAAGUUCCAGAGCAGGUAAAAAACACCAGAGAACGUGAGGAGUUUUCAACACAGGUGUUCACUUCUGGCAGUGCCCUGCUAACAGUUUAUGCAGAAGAAAAAUGUGUCUUCUCAGCACGCUGCAUAAGAAAGUGGAGCUUGAAGAAGAUUUGCGGCAAAAACCAAAUGUAAUCAUAGACUACAACCAUUUGAAAUGUGUUGUUGAUGUGCUGGAUCAAAAACUGCGUGCUUACACAGUGUGCACAGGAACACUUAGAUUACUCCCAGUCUCCCAGUUUUUGGCUACGCAUCAGUACCGGACAUUAGAUUACAGCAACACAGAGAAAAGCUGAAAAAUCUUAAAAAAAGUUAUUACAGGACCACAAUGGACAGAGUAGGUCAGACUGUAAGGGCUGGAAGCGGUUCAAACACAGGAACACUGUUUACGGACACCAAUCAGCGAGCAACAGGAGGCAGGAUGACCGCGACUUGGCCACGGCUUUGUUGGAUGUGACGGUGUGCAGCGGAUAAGAGAAUUUUUAGAGGGGAAUCCUGCAAAUGG